CUCGUAGGUGGUUUGUCGCGUCGUUUGUGGAAGUCCACGGCUUAACUGUGGGACUGCAGGCGAUACGGGCAUAACUUGAGUGCUGUAGGGGAGACUGGAAUUCCUGGUGUAGCGGUGGAAUGUGUAGAUAUCGGGAAGAACACCAAUGGCGAAGGCAGGUCUCUGGGCCGUUACUGACGCUGAGGAGCGAAAGCGUGGGGAGCGAACA
rnacentral:rRNA from 1 species